CUCAUAUAAAGUUUAAAAUUAGUAGUUGUACAAGAUAAUUUUCCUUAAAUAUAUAAUAAUCAAAAGUUAGCUGAAAAAACGUAUCGUAUGAUGCCUUUCCAUCUUCUUGAAUUGGUUAAGUUCAUCAGAAAUUAAUGCUCGUCUAAUUUGGAACUCAUGAAUGGGUUGCAAAAGGUGUUUUUUUUUUUUUUAAGAUGUAAAUUGAGAGAAAAGAAGACGUAAGCAGGGAGAUGAAGAGCAAUGGUUCGCAGCCAAGGAUCUGGGAAUGGUGAUUUGUAAUAGUACAAAGAGAUGCACAAGAUUCCCAAAUUUAUAGACUAAGCAGUUUCUGGAUUUCUGAUCUGUUGAUCUUUAUGAUCGCUGGAGGUUACGCGGAUCAAGGAUAUACCGUUUGGCUAGAGGAUUCAUGUUUCUGGAGCGUUUUUUGGAUUUUUUAGGCCGUAGGAGAUAUGAUGGUGUUCGCGGUUCCUGUGAAUCUUUCGUCGCUGGAUGAGUAGAAGUGUAGAACAGAUCCUUGAAGGCGGUUCCAGGUAUUUGCCGUAGGGGAUAUGAUGGUGUUCACAGCUAAGGAUCUGGGAACGGUAAGAGAGAGAGAGACAUUGAACAUUAUGACAAAUUCCCACCAUUUUUCCAUUUUGAUAGGAUUUUGGAAGAGGGUGGGGUGAAGGUCACGUCAAGGGAAAACUCAUUUCCCACACUUUUUAGUGAAUUCUAACCGUUCAAUCAAUCGAAGGAAUCUCGCUAACCUGCAUGCACAAACAGUUAGUGGAAGGCACUAGGUUGAACCGGUGCAAUAAUCGUCUGAAGCUUAAGUCAAAUCUGCAACAAGUAAUUCUCUUUAAUGAUUUUUUCAAUCCCCUCUCAGUGGAGGUUUAUCUCCUAUAUUUAUAGGCCAUGUAC